UUUAUCCUUAUUUCAUACCUUUUUAAAAAAAAUCAAAUAUAUGUGUUAAACACUAAAACAAGAGAAUAUGCGGAUUUUUUAUGAUUAAUUUUAUUGACUUUAAUUGUAAUGUGUAUAUAUUUGAGUUGUUUUAAAUAUGAAAAUCUAAAAUAAAAUAUAUUGAUAUCAAAAUAUGUUGUUUAAAAAAAAUUACAAUGAAAAAAAGAAAUAAAAAAAUGACGUUUUUAUAGACAAAGAUGGGUUAAAGUUAUGAAAGAUAAAACAAAUAUUGAAAAUAACGUUGAGCUACUUUUUUUUAGAAACAUGAAACCUAUUAGAUGGAUACAUGGCAAAAGAGCUAAGUUUGCUUUGAACAUUAUAGGAUGGGUUGAAGCACUCCAAAUGCAU
rnacentral:lncRNA from 1 species